GUCACUCCAAGGUUUCAAACAAAACGACCAAGCCAUGCAUGGUGAAUACUACAGAAAUCAAGCGGCAAUUAAUUCUAUAUCAGCAUAGGCAGAUAUCACAACACUUUCAGCUUCAGAGUAACGUAGUGCUUUCAAGGAACUCACAUGUUUAGACUCAAUAUUGUCCCUGGAGAACACCAACAUGGAAUUUGCUCUUUGGAUACUCUUUGUUUUGACAACCAUCUGGUCAUUUUCCUGAAUCCGCAAGGUUUUGGUGUUCUAACUUCUAAGAUAUAUCAGAGUUUGCUAUGUCUCAGAGCAUCAUGCGCCUUAGUGAUUGGACCCUAUGAUCAUAAGAGUAAGAUACCGUUCUCGCAAAAAAAAAAGAGUAAGAUACCGAAUAAGUCCUUUUAGAUGCUAGGAAAGCGGCAAGUCUACUGUAAAGCAGC